UACGGAGGAUGCGAGCGUUAUCCGGAUUUAUUGGGUUUAAAGGGUGCGUAGGCGGAAUAUCAAGUCAGCGGUAAAAAUUCGGGGCUCAACCCCGUACUGCCGUUGAAACUGCAUCCCUUGAGUGCGCGAGAAGUAUGCGGAAUGCGUGGUGUAGCGGUGAAAUGCAUAGAUAUCACGCAGAACUCCGAUUGCGAAGGCAGCAUACCGGCGCGCAACUGACGCUCAUGCACGAAAGCGUGGGUAUCGAACAGG
rnacentral:rRNA from 1 species